rnacentral:rRNA from 1 species
UACGGAGGGAGCUAGCGUUGUUCGGAAUUAUUGAGCGUAAAGAGUACGUAGGCGGUUAUUCAAGUCAGAGGUGAAAGCCUGGAGCUCAACUCCAGAACUGCCUUUGAAACUAGAUAACUUGAAUCACGGAGAGGUUAGUGGAAUUCCGAGUGUAGAGGUGAAAUUCGUAGAUAUUCGGAAGAACACCAGUGGCGAAGGCGACUAACUGGACGUGUAUUGACGCUGAGGUACGAAAGCGUGGGGAGCAAACAGG